ACAAUGAUACUCCCGUCUUUCUUCGGAAAGGCGGCUCGGAGCGAUCCUCGGAGGGGUGAGAGUCCCAUGA
rnacentral:ncRNA from 2 species